rnacentral:rRNA from 1 species
CUGCGGAAGGAUCAUUAAUAAAUCAUGAAACUCCAAGGAUGCCUUCUCCCACCAGCUUUGGCUGGCUUGCAGUUGGUCUCCUUGGUGCUCAUCUUUUACAUCCCAUUCUGUGAACAUGGCUUCUGUUGCUUCCCGUGGAUGCGGGCCAGCAAGGGGUAACUCCCUGAUGGUCACCCUGCGGGAAGGGAAUCAUAAACUCUGGUUUCUGUAGUAUUAGUCUGAGUGAUAAUCACAAUCAAACAAGUUAAAACUUUCAACAACGGAUCUCUUGGUUCUCGCAUCGAUGAAGAACGCAGCGAAAUGCGAUAAGUAGUGUGAAUUGCAGAAUUCAGUGAAUCAUCGAAUCUUUGAACGCACAUUGCGCCUUCUGGUAUUCCGGGAGGCAUGCCUGUUCGAGCGUCAUCAAACUCAUCCUCAAGCAAUUUUGCUUGGUCUUGGAGGAAGAUGUCAACAUCUCCUCUCAAAUCCCUCAGCGGAAGCCUCUGCAGCAUCAGGUGUGAUAAUAGCUUUUCACUUGGUGACUGUGGUUAUGUUCUUGCUGUUAAGAGCCCCCCAGCUUCUAUAAGUUUGACCUCGGAUCAGGUAGGGAUACCCGCUGAACUUAAGCAUACAAUAAGCGGAGCAAAAGAAACCAACAGGGAUUGCCUCAGUAACUGCGAGUGAAGCGGCAAAAGCUCAAAUUUGAAAUCUGGUACCUUUGGGUGCUCGAGUUGUAAUUUGGAGAGGCAACUUCGGAGGAGGCGCUGGCCUAAGUUCCUUGGAACAGGACGUCACAGAGGGUGAGAAUCCCGUGCUUGGCUGGCUGUCCUCCUUCAUGUGAAGUGUCUUCGACGAGUCGAGUUGUUUGGGAAUGCAGCUCAAAAUGGGUGGUAAACUCCAUCUAAGGCUAAAUAUUGGCGAGAGACCGAUAGCGCACAAGUAGAGUGAUCGAAAGAUGAAAAGCACUUUGAAAAGAGAGUUAAACAGUACGUGAAAUUGUUGAAAGGGAAGCGCUUGAGACCAGACUCGGUGAUAGGUGAUCAGCGGUUGCUUUUGCUCUGUGCACUUGCCUUUUACCGGGCCAGCAUCAGUUGUGAUGGUGGGAUAAAGACUCGGGGAAUGUGGCUCUCUUCGGGGAGUGUUAUAGCCCUGGGUGUAAUGCCACCUGUUGCGACUGAGGACCGCGCUUCGGCUAGGAUGC